AGGGCGCAGGGCGAAUGCCUUGGCACUGGGAGCCGAUGAAAGACGUGAUAAGCUGCGAUAAGCUUCGGGGAGCUGCAAAUAAGCAUUGAUCCGGAGAUCUCUGAAUGAGGAAACUCACCUGGGUUCAUACUCAGGUACAAUGCACUGAAAUUUAAAAUAGGUGUAUUGAGGGAACCGCCUGAACUGAAACAUCUAAGUAGGGCGAGGAAGAGACAUCAAACGAGAUUCCGUAAGUAGUGGCGAGCGAACGCGGAAGAGGGCAAACCGAGAGUAGAAAUACUUUCGGGGUACGGACUGCUUUUAAGACUUAAUCUGUUAACCGAACGGCAUGGGAAGGCCGGUCAGAGAGUGUGAGAACCACGUAGGUGAAAACGGAGAGAGCUGCGCAGGAUCCAGAGUACGGCCAGACACGUGAAACCUGGUCGGAAUACGGGGGGACCACCCUCCAACCCUAAAUACUACCCAGUGACCGAUAGCGUAUAGUACUGUGAAGGAAAGGUGAAAAGCACCCCGGGAGGGGAGUGAAAUAGAACCUGAAACCCUGUGCCUACAAGCACCUAGAGCACGUCAAUGUGUGAUAGGGUACUUUUUGUAGAACGGUCCGGCGAGCGAUUGUAUGCAGCAAGGUUAAGGACUUAAGGUCUGGAGCCGAAGCGAAAGCGAGUUUGAAAAGGGCGUUAAGUUGCAUAUAAUGGGCCCGAAACCGGGUGACCUACCCAUGGUCAGGUUGAAGUGGAAGUAAAAUUCCAUGGAGGACCGAACCGACCUCCGUUGAAAAGGCGGCGGAUGAACUGUGGGUAGCGGAGAAAUUCCAAUCGAACCCGGAGAUAGCUGGUUCUCCCCGAAAUAGUUUUAGGACUAGCCUCAAGUUAGAUACCUGGAGGUAAAGCACUGAAUAGCCUAGCGGCCGAGAGGUUAGCGAAGCUUAUCAAACUCAGAAUGCCAGAGUAUUGAUGCUUGGGAGUCAGACAGUGUCAGAUAAAUGUCAUUGUCAAAAGGGAAACAGCCCAGAUCUACAGCUAAGGUCCCAAAGUCAGGUUAAGUGGAAAACGAUGUGAAGAUACGCAGACAACCAGGAUGUUGGCUCAGAAGCAGCCACUCAUUCAAAGAGUGCGUAAUAGCUCACUGGUCGAGCGUCUUUGCGCGGAGAAUUUAACGGGGCUAAACCUGACACCGAAGCUUAGGCAAUCCAGUAAUGGAUUGGGUAGGGGAGCGUUGUAUACGCGGAGAAACAGUAGCGUAAGCGGCUGUGGAGUGUAUAGAAGUGAGAAUGCCGGAAUGAGUAGCGCGAAUGCAGUGAGAAUCUGCAUGGCCGAAAGCCUCAGGUUUUUGGAGGAAGGUUCGUCCGCUCCAAGUUAGUCGGGAGCUAAGGUGAGGCCGGAAGGCGUAGCCGAUGCACAGACGGUAGAGAUUCCGUCACCACCAAAAGAGUUAAGCACAGGGACACAUUUGAAGUCUCAGAGCCGGGUGUUGGUUCCGGUAGAGAUCGAGGGAAGUUAGUACCGAAGUCUGGGAUGGAAGAUGGCGAGAAAAGCUGUGUGUAUUUCUGAGGUGCCCGUACCGCAAACCGACACAGGUAGGUAGGAAGAAGAUUCUAAGGCCAACGGGAGAAGGGUUGUUAAGGAACUCGGCAAAUUGACCCCGUAACUUCGGGAGAAGGGGUGCUCCAGAGAUGGAGCCGCAGAGAAUCGGCCCAAGCAACUGUUUACCAAAAACACAGGUUUGUGCUAAAUCGAAAGAUGACGUAUACGAGCUGACGCCUGCCCGGUGCUGGAAGGUUAAGAGGAGAUGUGCAAGCAUUGAAUCGAAGCCCCAGUGAACGGCGGCCGUAACUAUAACGGUCCUAAGGUAGCGAAAUUCCUUGUCAGGUAAGUUCUGACCCGCAUGAAAGGCGUAAUGAUUUGGGCACUGUCUCAACAGCCCGCCCGGCGAAAUUGUAGUACCGGUGAAGAUGCCGGUUACCCGCGACAAGACGGAAAGACCCCAUGGAGCUUUACUGUAGCCUAAUAUUGGGUUUCGGUGUUGCAUGCACAGGAUAGAUGGGACUCUUGGAAACCAAGGCUUUGGCUUUGGCGGAGAGGCCGUUGGGAUACCAUCCUUGCGAUAUUGGAAUUCUAACCU
rnacentral:rRNA from 1 species